rfam:Pan troglodytes isolate Yerkes chimp pedigree #C0471 (Clint) chromosome 19, whole genome shotgun sequence.
GCCGGGCGUGGUGGUGCGUGCCUGUAAUCCCAGCUACUCGGGAGGCUGAGGCAGGAGAAUCGCUUGAGCCCAGGAGGCAGAAGUUGCAGUGAGCUAAGAUUUCGCCACUGCACUCCAGCCUGGGCAACAAGAGCGAGACUCUGUCUCAA